UGCAGUCGAGCGGUAGCACAGAGAGCUUGCUCUCGGGUGACGAGCGGCGGACGGGUGAGUAAUGUCUGGGAAACUGCCUGAUGGAGGGGGAUAACUACUGGAAACGGUAGCUAAUACCGCAUAACGUCGCAAGACCAAAGUGGGGGACCUUCGGGCCUCAUGCCAUCAGAUGUGCCCAGAUGGGAUUAGCUAGUAGGUGGGGUAACGGCUCACCUAGGCGACGAUCCCUAGCUGGUCUGAGAGGAUGACCAGCCACACUGGAACUGAGACACGGUCCAGACUCCUACGGGAGGCAGCAGUGGGGAAUAUUGCACAAUGGGCGCAAGCCUGAUGCAGCCAUGCCGCGUGUGUGAAGAAGGCCUUCGGGUUGUAAAGCACUUUCAGCGGGGAGGAAGGCGUUAAGGUUAAUAACCUUGUCGAUUGACGUUACCCGCAGAAGAAGCACCGGCUAACUCCGUGCCAGCAGCCGCGGUAAUACGGAGGGUGCAAGCGUUAAUCGGAAUUACUGGGCGUAAAGCGCACGCAGGCGGUCUGUCAAGUCGGAUGUGAAAUCCCCGGGCUCAACCUGGGAACUGCAUUCGAAACUGGCAGGCUAGAGUCUUGUAGAGGGGGGUAGAAUUCCAGGUGUAGCGGUGAAAUGCGUAGAGAUCUGGAGGAAUACCGGUGGCGAAGGCGGCCCCCUGGACAAAGACUGACGCUCAGGUGCGAAAGCGUGGGGAGCAAACAGGAUUAGAUACCCGGGUAGUCCACGCCGUAAACGAUGUCGAUUUGAAGGUUGUGCCCUUGAGGCGUGGCUUCCGGGAGUAAACGCGUUAAAUCGACCGCCUGGGGAGUACCGGCCGCAAGGUUAAAAACUCAAAUGAAUUUGACGGGGGGCCCGGCACAAGCGGUGGAAGCAAGUGGGUUUAAUUUCGAAUGCAACCGGGAAAGAACCUUUACCUGGGUCUUGGAAUUCCCAAGAAAUUUUUCCAAAAAAUGGAUUUGGGUCCCUUCCGGAGAA
rnacentral:rRNA from 1 species